UUGACCUCGGAUCAGGUAGGAAUACCCGCUGAACUUAAGCAUAUCAAUAAGCGGAGGAAAAGAAACCAACAGGGAUUGCCUCAGUAACGGCGAGUGAAGCGGCAACAGCUCAAAUUUGAAAUCUGGCCUCACGGUCCGAGUUGUAAUUUGUAGAGGAUGCUUUUGGCAAGGUACUUUCCGAGUUCCCUGGAACGGGACGCCAUAGAGGGUGAGAGCCCCGUACGGUCAGACCACCGAGCCUCUGUAAAGCUCCUUCGACGAGUCGAGUAGUUUGGGAAUGCUGCUCUAAAUGGGAGGUGUACGUCUUCUAAAGCUAAAUACCGGCCAGAGACCGAUAGCGCACAAGUAGAGUGAUCGAAAGAUGAAAAGCACUUUGAAAAGAGGGUUAAAAAGUACGUGAAAUUGUUGAAAGGGAAGCAUUCAUGACCAGACUUGGGCUUGGUUGAACAUCCGGCGUUCUCGCCGGUGCACUCUGCCAGUCCAGGCCAGCAUCAGUUUGACCCGGGGGACAAAGGCGGCGGG
rnacentral:rRNA from 1 species